AAAAUGACAGCCAUAUCUCUGAGGGGAGAUUUUGGGAGAAGGGAGAAGGCAUUUGAGUGAUUAAGAAGCAUGUCUCCAAAUGCCCAAUACACGGCGGCUGCAGAUGGGAGUGUCAGUGUUAGCACAUACACAGUGGCAACCAAGUAAAUUGCCUUGAAUUUCUGAGGCUUCCACAUUGCAUGCAUGAUUUCCCUGCAUUUUCCCAACAACCAAACAGCUUUAGUCAAAAUUAAUUAGAGUUUUAUGUCUUGUUCAGAUAACCCAGUUCAUAACAAUUAUGAGUUAGUUUGAUGGGCCUUUUUCUUUUCUAAAUUGGGCCAAUCGAGGAUGGCCCAUAGAAGAAUGAAUACUAAGGUAUGGAGACACUGUGACAUUCUCCCUCAUACUUUUUCAGAUUCUACAUCAGGGUUUAUGAUAAAAGAGGGGCAAUUAGAUAGAGAAACUUCACUUUCAAUGUCUAUUAGACUAUUACUAAACAGGAUAAAGAAAAAGGGGUUUUUACCCAGGAAAAGAGGAUAUCUUUUUAUGCUGAUAAAGACAACACAAUUCAAAAAGUGUAGUUACACACAAUUACAAAUAUUAAAUUCAUAAAGGCAGAGAAAAGGGAAAAGAUGAAUAUUUUCUACACUAGGGAGUGUAAAGAGAAGUUUAGCAAGACAUUUUACCAAAUUAAUAAUUGUACAUUGAUAUUAACUUUUUUAUAACAAUGGAAUCCAACUAACAUUGAGAUCUAUAAUGGCAACAUCAACCAAAAAAAUUAAAAUUGAAGAGAUCUUUCAUAGAUGACAACAAACGAUGGAGUGUUGACAUUUUUAAUGGCACACAAACAACAGAGACAGCCAACAUACAUAUGCACAUUCCACAGCUAAAAAUUUGAAGACAGUCGCAAAAACCAACAAGAAAACAUUAAUAACAUAAAAAGAUUUUGAGAUUGUCUUACACUGUAACAGCAUGCCCACCGAAUGUGUAAAGAAUGUUGGUGGCCCCAGUGAAGUAAAGGACCAACUUGGUUGGACCAGAGUGCUUAACUCCCUCCACCUAAAAACACAUCAUUAAAGAUUAAACCACAAAAAACCUUCAUCACUUACCACCACACCACACCCAAAUCCAUGUCUUUACUCAAAUAGGUUCACUACAAUUUCAAUGGCGUUUAGUAUAAUGGAAAAUGUGAUACCUGGCCAUGGAGAAUAGAAGCAAUGGUGAGGUACCAAGCUGUGUAAGUGGUCAUUAAGAGACCUAGAAAGGACCAGAUUCUGUAGUUUCUAAAGGAAGGAAUGAAGACAGUGGUAGCACAACAGGCUCCAAAGAUGUAUGUCCAAGUUCUCUUGUCUAGGUUGUCAUUUAUGUAAUAAAUAUUACUGCAUACCAGAUUUUUAAAGCAAGGAUAAGAUUAACAAUGCCAAGUUGAAGAUGGUGAAGUUUGCAGUGGAAUGGAAUUAGGUAAUGAAACAAAAACAAACAAACAAACAAGAAAGGAAAAUACAUAAUACCUAGCACAAGCUAUAAGUUGAAUGACAGAUCCAAACAGAAGAAAAGUGCAAUUAAAUGCCAAACCCACAUUCCUCCAAUGUUUCCCAAGCAACCCAUCAAGAACUUCAAACCACUGGAAACAAAAAAAAAAAAAACACCAAACUCCAUGAGAAACCAACACUCCUAAAAGGGGUUUCUUCCAGUAAUGGAAGUAAAAAAUCACAGCAAGAAAAAGAAGAUGAGUUAAUGAACCUGAAUAACAUGGUUUCUAAAAUCAACUUUUUCCCUUUCUUUUCUAGUUCUAUAUUCGAUAUAGAGUACACUAAUCAAAUAAGCAGUCCAGCUACCAAGCAAGCCAUAGAAGAGCUGAAACAGAACUCCAGAGAGCAUUCCCAGUUGAGAAAACGAAUAGGGCAGAGUAAGCAAAACUUGAGCAACCUGA
rnacentral:lncRNA from 1 species